rnacentral:rRNA from 1 species
AACGAACGCUGGCGGCAGGCCUAACACAUGCAAGUCGAACGCUCCGCAAGGGGAGUGGCGCACGGGUGAGUAACACGUGGGAACCUACCUUCUGGUACGGAACAACCAAGGGAAACUUUGGCUAAGACCGUAUACGACCUCCGGGUGAAAGAUUGAUCGCCGGAAGAGGGGCCCGCGUCCGAUUAGGUAGUUGGUGAGGUAACGGCUCACCAAGCCUUCGAUCGGUAGCUGGUCUGAGAGGAUGACCAGCCACACUGGGACUGAGACACGGCCCAGACUCCUACGGGAGGCAGCAGUGGGGAAUAUUGGACAAUGGGCGCAAGCCUGAUCCAGCCAUGCCGCGUGAGUGAUGAAGGCCUUCGGUUGUUAAG